AUUCUAGUCCCUCCGUUGCACAAUACAUGCCUUCUAUUUGUCAAAAUAUAUAUGUAUCUAGACAUGUCUUAGUAUAUAGGUACAUCCAUUUUUGGACAAAUGGAAGUCAAGUAUUUUGGAACGGAGAGAGUACACA
rnacentral:pre_miRNA from 1 species